CAGUGUUGUGACGGGGACACAGCUGGUCCUGAGAAGGCAUCAUAUUCAGACAAGCAUGUCAGAUUGCAUUCAUUACUGUGGCUUCCUAUUUCUGGGAUGGCCAAAUGUAUGAAGAAUGGAUUAUUUAACACUUAUAACAUAUUUUGAAAACCUAAAUCACAUUGUUGCAACUAGGCAACUGUUGAAAAAUGGAAGCCCUGAAUUUUAGCUGGCACAUGUCUGCCUCAUUUCACAGCCUCCAUUGCAGGGAAGCCUGGCCACUGACCAAGUUUUGGACAAAGAGAUGUAAGUGGAAGUGGUAUAUGCAAUUUUGAGGAGUGUUUUUUAAGUGGGAAGGUAUGUUCUCCUUUCUCUUUCUUGUGGUGAGAAUGGGGCACUAUGAUUAGAGCA